UGGGGAAUAUUGGACAAUGGGGGCAACCCUGAUCCAGCAAUACCGCGUGUGCGAAGAAGGCCUGAGGGUUGUAAAGCACUUUCAAUUGUGAAGAAAAGUUAACGGUUAAUAACCGUUAGCCUUGACGUUAACUUUAGAAGAAGCACCGGCUAACUCCGUGCCAGCAGCCGCGGUAAUACGGAGGGUGCAAGCGUUAAUCGAAAUUACUGGGCGUAAAGCGUGCGUAGGUGGUUUAUUAAGUCAGAUGUGAAAGCCCCGGGCUUAACCUGGGAACUGCAUUUGAAACUGGUAAACUAGAGUAUGGUAGAGGAAAGUGGAAUUUCUGGUGUAGCGGUGAAAUGCGUAGAUAUCAGAAGGAACAUCAAUGGCGAAGGCAGCUUUCUGGACCAAUACUGACACUGAGGUACGAAAGCGUGGGUAGCAAACAGGAUUAGAUACCCUGGUAGUCCACGCCGUAAACGAUGAUAACUAGCCGUUGGGGGGAUUUACCCUUUAGUGGCGAAGCUAGCGCGUUAAGUUAUCCGCCUGGGGAGUACGGCCGCAAGGUUA
rnacentral:rRNA from 1 species